GACGAACGCUGGCGGCGUGCUUAACACAUGCAAGUCGAACGGAAAGGCCCUGCUUUUGUGGGGUGCUCGAGUGGCGAACGGGUGAGUAACACGUGAGUAACCUGCCCUUGACUUUGGGAUAACUUCAGGAAACUGGGGCUAAUACCGGAUAGGAGCUCCUGCCGCAUGGUGGGGGUUGGAAAGUUUCGGCGGUUGGGGAUGGACUCGCGGCUUAUCAGCUUGUUGGUGGGGUAGUGGCUUACCAAGGCUUUGACGGGUAGCCGGCCUGAGAGGGUGACCGGCCACAUUGGGACUGAGAUACGGCCCAGACUCCUACGGGAGGCAGCAGUGGGGAAUAUGGCGCAAUGGGCGGAAGCCUGAUGCAGCAACGCCGCGUGCGGGAUGACGGCCUUCGGGUUGUAAACCGCUUUCGCCUGUGACGAAGCGUGAGUGACGGUAAUGGGUAAAGAAGCACCGGCUAACUACGUG
rnacentral:rRNA from 1 species